CUCUAUCGGUGUCCGGUCUGAGGAAGGGGUCCAAGAAGGAGGAGAUAGACUGAACAGCUGAAUGCCGGGCUGCGUAGCUGGUGCCAUACUCCAGGUUUUGGCUUUUAUGAUCAUGGAUCUACCUUUAAGAAGCCAGGUCUGUUGGGAGGUGAUGGGAUUCACACGACCAAGCGGGGCAAGAUCGUCUUUGCCAGUAAGCCGGUUAGACUCACAAGGCAGGCUUUAAAGGAGACUCAGCGAGGAAAGACGAUGGAGUUUUGAGCAACAGAGAAGAGCCAGGGGCUGGUGAUGUGUUGGGAACAAGAGGGGAAUACUUGAGAAAUGCUGCAAAAGAAUUGGGGCAUGAUCCUUGUCCAAAAAAGUGACGCAGUCAACAGCCCCACAGAAGUGCCUCUGUACCAAUGCACGCAGUAUGUGAAAGAAAGAGGAGCUGGAAACCACUGUGCAGCCGGAAAGCUAACCAUGUAAUCACUAUAGUAGAAAUGUGCUGGGACAACUCAAAUGACUGGAGCUCUGCAAUCAAUGGCUAUAAACUGGUCAGAAGCAAGGAGAGGCGGAGGUGGCCCUCUACGUAAACCAAAAAUAGGAGGGAUUUCCUGUACAGAGCUGUCUUUGAAAGACAGCGGUGAACAGGUUGAGAGCUUAUGUGUGAAAAUUAGAGGCCAAGCUGUUGCGUUAAGAGUAAGAAAUUUGUCAGAAAAUGAAUCCCCUUGCGUCCCAGCUGGUCCUCAGAGAUCAGAGGGACUGGAUGGGGUUAGGCUUAACUUCCGAUUACAACCAAUUCAGCACUAUAAGUCUGGUUGCCUUCUCUAAGAAGCUUUGCGAGCACAGAUUCAGGAAGAGAGUGGUUUUCUGAAGUUACAGAAAUAGAGAUUUGGAACUGCCAUUGAGAAAUGCACUAGCUGUGAUAGAACUCUAAUAACAUCGUGUUAACCCAUGCAAUACUAAUAAUAGCAAUGGUAUGCAGAAGCUUCCCAAGAGGGCGUCCCCACUUGGGAGGAGGGAGAAGAGAACAGACCGGCAACUGUCUCCGACAUCUUUUGGGAAUUCCUGCUACCUAGAUGAACUUUCUACCCUCCUUAUAUACAGCCCAAUCUUCUCCUCCUUACGUAUAGCACGAUCUAAGCGGAGAGCUGAGUAAUACAAUCAUAUAUGUGGUAGCAUGUACUUCAGUAAGCUUAUUAGCGUAUGCAUGAGUGUGCGUUUUAAUACUUAAAUGACCCUUAAUCAGGCAAAGGUUGCUUUUUUGGGCUUGGUGUCCUUCAAAGUUCCGCUCUUAAGACUUCUUUCCAUUUCAUGCCGUUCAUCAGAGCCAGAAGAGGACUAUCCUAGCUGCCCAUGAACUCCUCCUUUGGCCAUAUUGUCCCUUCUUGAUGUCAGCUAUGUGGAUCUCCAUCAGUAAAGAUAGUGUGGAGGGUACACGGUUUAGGCCAUAUAUAGGAAGCCUUAGCCCUUUCCUGGCUCCAUGGUCAUCAUCCCACACAAGCCAACAAAGGAAACCUUGUGGUUGGUAUCUACUAUAGGCCACCAGAUUAAGAGGAUGAGCUCGACAUAAGAAAUCAGGCACGUUAGGCAGGAGAUGAGCGAGGCUGAGUAACGACCUUCUCUUCUGGUCGAGCUGAAGCACAAAGUGGAAAUGCAUAGGUAGUGGAAGCGGGGCCACGCAUUCUGGGAAGAAUCUAAAGAUGCUGCUCACAUCUGUAGGGAUGGGAUCAGAAAAUGUAAGGCAAAUCUGGAGCUGAAUGGUACUCGGCGAUUCAUUUUCCUCUGUUUUCACCGGCACCGUUACCAAACCUCUUGAGACCCUGAACCUCAAGGCAGGGACUUGGGGAACAAAGUCCCUUCCAUUGUAGGAAACGAUCAUGUUUGAGACCACCUGAGGAACCUGUGGAUACACAAGUCCUGCACCUGGGGAGGAACAACCCCAUGCACCAGUACAUGCUGGAGGCCGAUAGGCUGUGUUAUAGAUACAUUUUAUAUUGUUGGCUUUUCUCAAAUAUUAAAAUGAAUGUUAUGUGUAUAAGAAUGAGAAAUUUUGUUGUAUUAAUAUAGUUUUCUUUAUUUCUGUUAUUGAUGAAAUUUAGAAAUAGUAGUAUAAUACAUAUAUGUUAGGUUAUGGCAUAGUAUUAAAAUAAAAACUGCCUUUGUUUGUAUAACCCAAAGACUGAGGAAAAAAUAGCUAGAGACUCCUGCAUUUGUAAACUAUCUUAUCCAGAUGAAGACAGCAGUGUCCAGAGCUCUGGGGGAGGAAUUUAUUGCAUUCCUGGUAUCAGAGAAUGUAAAUCUCAAUGGCGCCAAGAGGAUUGAUCUAUUGGGAAGGGGGCAAGAGAAAACUAAACAGAAGAACACCAAAGAUCCUAAGAAGAAUGUAUGAAUAUGUAUGAGAAUUUAUGGAUAUGUAGUAGGAUUCUGUUUUUAAGGGACAAUCCUUUGUUAGUAAGGUGUGCUCUCUUGGCUGAAUGCAGAGACACCCGGCCGUAUCUGUAUACUUUAUUUUUUUCUCCUAAUUGUUUUUUAUUAAACUUUUAAAUUCUAUAAAACUUAUGUGAACCUCGUUUUUCACAGCUGGAAAGCAGCUUGGCAAAAUAGGACAAUGUGCCCUUGCCACAAAGGCAGCCAAGGAUAUCCUGAGCCUGAUAUAGAGGAAAGCAGGGUUUAUAUAUGUUACAAGACAGUUGUGUGGAACGUUCAAGGUGCUCACUGUCCCACGAGGGUGCAGGGCACCACAGACUACCCUUGGGCAGCUUUGAGGGCACUGCUUAUUUUUCUAAAAGCCUCCUAUCCAGCUUAACGCAAAUCCUACUAUCUUGAGCCCUCAAGCCAGCAGUGUCAAACGCACGCUUUGUAUUUUGCUUUCUUCCAGGAGACGUGCAGCUCAGAAACGUCUGCAAUGGAAGUGGGGCUUUCAUCAAACAAUGUAGAGCAACUUCUGUUGGUUUUUCAAACUGUCCUGAGAAGCUAAGGCCAGGCCUGCCCUGGCUUGGCCAAAGCAGUCAUUUGACUGGAGGGAGCAGCACCAAAAAGGCAGAGGCACCUUUGGGGUGGGCUUGAUGCGGUAACAAAUAACAAGAAAUAGUACUUGUAGCUACUGCAGCCUCUUCUGCGACCUCGUAGCCCGCCCUCAGGGUCGCAGCACUACACGGGGCAGAUCCCUCCGCGCCCCGCGGGCACCAGGUCGACGAGGGCGGGCCCGCCAAGGGGGCGGGGAAAAACGAAAAAGACAGGCGAGUCAGCAAAUCGAGACGCGGGCCACGAUCCGUCGGCCCAAUGGGCGCCGCGGAGGGCCCGGCUUAGUGGAGGAAGUGUCGGGGCGGACACGGGCGUUGUCCUUGGCUGACGAGAGUAUCGGGGUGCUGGCCUCUCUUCCUGGUGGCGCCUCUACUGUCUUCGGAAAGAUUCUCGGCAAGGCGUUUCUCUGGUAUCGUCAGCGACGAGGACUAGGAGGUGGUAUGCGGUUUAUCAGCUGCAAAGUACCACGGAGUUCCCUUCCCUGCAAGGAUUUCUGUAGAACCUGGCCUUCGCUCCGCUCCAUCCUCCAUUCCAUCUCCCUCAGCAGGAAGUAAAGUAGCAGGAGCGACAUGAACAGACGAUGAGUGAAUUUUACGAGGAGUGAGGAGAGUGCGACGAUAGCCCAGGCAGGGCCGGUGUCGGUGCCAAACGAUCGAGUGUGUCGCUUCUGUCCCAAACACCCAUCUCGAUGGAAUGGAGCCCAAGUCACGGCCUAUUUUUAAACAUCUGGAGGAGUGGAGGAAACCCAUGAAAUGGGAAAAUAAUAUCUAUCUUUGAAAGGAAGGAGGACGGUAGUUAAUGAAAAUGUGUGCGUUUGUUGGGCAUAAAGAUGAUUUAAGCAUGGAGUUUUAAGUUGUAAGCGUUGGUAAGAAGGGAUUUCAGUCAUGACAAAUAAAUACAAUGGAAUAAUUAGAAGGCAGAUAUAUCUAUAAUUCUGUGGGAUCUGAGUAUGACACAAAUGGUGUGAAGUAAGGGGUGGAGGUUGUACUGGGUGUGGCUGAGAUGGAGUUCAUUUUCUCCAUAGUGGCCAUCAGUGCCAUACUUUGCAUUUGUACCUAGAAAGGUGUUGAUAACACACCGGUGUUUUGGCUACUGGUGGGCAGUGUUGGCACAGCAUCAGCGCUGUCUCUCCAACAUUCUGCCCCCCCCAUCAGUAGGCUGGGGGUGGGCAAGAUCCUGGGAGGAGACACCACUAGACCAGGUGACCCAAACUGGCCAGAGGGCUAUUCUGUACCAUAUGACUUCAGCUCAGAAAUAAAAGCUAAGUUAAGGAGGGGGAAGGGGGCACAUUCGUUAUUUACAGCGUUUGCCUUUCGGAGCAUCCCCUACGCGUGCUGAAGCCCUGCUUCAUGGAAAGUGGUCGGGCAGCACUUGCUGAUGGGAACUAGAGGAUAUAAAUUAUUUUUUUUUCCUGUUUGCUUUUUCUUGCGAAAACUUUCUCUUUUCCUUUAGUAAAGUGCCUUAUCUCACCCUGUGAGUUGUUUUCCAUCUUAUUUUCUCUCCGUGUCAAGCUGAGAAGGGGGAGUGAUAGAGCGGCUCUGUGAGUACCUGGCAUCCAGCCAAGGUCAACCCACCACAGAUGCUUUUGAUGCCGUCCAGGUGUUGUAGGAUAAGGGCACUGAUAAUGCGGGUAAAUAAUUGUCUGCGGAGCUGGUGCUUGCAACAGCGUUCUCGAUUCUAUGAGCAUGGGACCCUGUUUUUGGAUCAGCAUCUGCUUGGGAGAGCGGGGCUCCACCUCAUUAAGCGGGGCAAAGAUAUUUUUGCCAGUAGGAUAGCUGACCUCAUUAGGAGGGCUUUAAACUAAAAGUGAGGGUGCGAGGAGGCGGAGAGAGAGAAUAAUCAGCAGCCCUGUGUGGGAGUGAUGGACAGGGUAAACGAGCAAAGGGCAGGGCAAGAGCUCCAGUACCUGGAAGUCCCCCUUAGAACCCAAAGGCAGCGGUGGAUGCCACAGCGGCAAGUGUGCUUGUUGUAUUUAUUCCGAGAACCCUUUCAUUCUACCCCCCGUGGAGAGGUGCCUGCCCUUCACGGAACACCGGCGGGGAAGGCGUCUCAGAAUAUAUACAACAUGGACUUAAAGUAUCUUAGACACAGGAGGCUCAGACUUGCAUAAUGUGAUCCCGGGUUUAUUGUAUGUGAUUCGCCCGGGGCAAGAAAGAGACCAAAAUGCUCUGGGUCUUAUCUCUUAUACUAGGGGGAGGGGGUGGUCAAAGAUACAGGGGAGUUACAGCCAAUGGGACAGGGGAAGGGAAAGGGGGGUUUAGGUAGGGACUAACAUUAUACAAACUAAGGGUGAGUUCUUCCCUUGGGACAUACCACCUAUUUUUUAAAUGCACUACAACACGUGCCCAGCAGAAAGAACUCCUUGGACAAGUAAGUUUUAAAAGAGGAGUUUGACAGGAAGCACAGAAUCCGGGUACAUGGACAGGAGUUCCAUGCCAGGUAUUGUACGCUGUCCCAGGCUGAGCGACGGCCUGCCUUCAGAGUGCACAAAAGGAAGGUAAACCAGAAUGUAACCUCGGGGUGACUGACAUAAGUUCCUCCCGAGAUGAAGGAGACCGGAUGCAUUUCUGUGCUCAGGGUAGAAGGAAGAACCCUCCCCCUUCUCCUGAAAUGCCCCUACAUAACAGACAGGAUGCUCCUGUUUGGAGACUGAAGAGCACAUGAGUAAUGGACAGGACCCAGGACAAAGCCAACCAUGCAAAGAUGACCUAACCACCAGUCUGCGUUAGAACACUGCAACCAGAGAAGCACAUAAAGGUAUUAGUAAUUGGAGAUUUCCUCCUGAGAAACACCGAGACACCCAUUUCCCACCUAGACGAUUUCUCUAGAGAACUCUGCUGCCUACCAGGAGAUCGCCUUCAUGGUGCCACUGAGAGGCUGCCGAGGCUGGUGAACCCUACAGAUUAUCAUCUGCUCCUACUCUUCUCUGUAGGGUCUGACGAGGCAUCUUAGAACCCUCCCAGGAGUCUAUGAUGUCUGUAGAAGCAAUGUUAAAAGGAUGGGGAGCACAGGUGAUGGUCUCCUCUAUCGGUGUCCGGUCUGAGGAAGGGGUCCAAGAAGGAGGAGAUAGACUGAACAGCUGAAUGCCGGGCUGCGUAGCUGGUGCCAUACUCCAGGUUUUGGCUUUUAUGAUCAUGGAUCUACCUUUAAGAAGCCAGGUCUGUUGGGAGGUGAUGGGAUUCACACGACCAAGCGGGGCAAGAUCGUCUUUGCCAGUAAGCCGGUUAGACUCACAAGGCAGGCUUUAAAGGAGACUCAGCGAGGAAAGACGAUGGAGUUUUGAGCAACAGAGAAGAGCCAGGGGCUGGUGAUGUGUUGGGAACAAGAGGGGAAUACUUGAGAAAUGCUGCAAAAGAAUUGGGGCAUGAUCCUUGUCCAAAAAAGUGACGCAGUCAACAGCCCCACAGAAGUGCCUCUGUACCAAUGCACGCAGUAUGUGAAAGAAAGAGGAGCUGGAAACCACUGUGCAGCCGGAAAGCUAACCAUGUAAUCACUAUAGUAGAAAUGUGCUGGGACAACUCAAAUGACUGGAGCUCUGCAAUCAAUGGCUAUAAACUGGUCAGAAGCAAGGAGAGGCGGAGGUGGCCCUCUACGUAAACCAAAAAUAGGAGGGAUUUCCUGUACAGAGCUGUCUUUGAAAGACAGCGGUGAACAGGUUGAGAGCUUAUGUGUGAAAAUUAGAGGCCAAGCUGUUGCGUUAAGAGUAAGAAAUUUGUCAGAAAAUGAAUCCCCUUGCGUCCCAGCUGGUCCUCAGAGAUCAGAGGGACUGGAUGGGGUUAGGCUUAACUUCCGAUUACAACCAAUUCAGCACUAUAAGUCUGGUUGCCUUCUCUAAGAAGCUUUGCGAGCACAGAUUCAGGAAGAGAGUGGUUUUCUGAAGUUACAGAAAUAGAGAUUUGGAACUGCCAUUGAGAAAUGCACUAGCUGUGAUAGAACUCUAAUAACAUCGUGUUAACCCAUGCAAUACUAAUAAUAGCAAUGGUAUGCAGAAGCUUCCCAAGAGGGCGUCCCCACUUGGGAGGAGGGAGAAGAGAACAGACCGGCAACUGUCUCCGACAUCUUUUGGGAAUUCCUGCUACCUAGAUGAACUUUCUACCCUCCUUAUAUACAGCCCAAUCUUCUCCUCCUUACGUAUAGCACGAUCUAAGCGGAGAGCUGAGUAAUACAAUCAUAUAUGUGGUAGCAUGUACUUCAGUAAGCUUAUUAGCGUAUGCAUGAGUGUGCGUUUUAAUACUUAAAUGACCCUUAAUCAGGCAAAGGUUGCUUUUUUGGGCUUGGUGUCCUUCAAAGUUCCGCUCUUAAGACUUCUUUCCAUUUCAUGCCGUUCAUCAGAGCCAGAAGAGGACUAUCCUAGCUGCCCAUGAACUCCUCCUUUGGCCAUAUUGUCCCUUCUUGAUGUCAGCUAUGUGGAUCUCCAUCAGUAAAGAUAGUGUGGAGGGUACACGGUUUAGGCCAUAUAUAGGAAGCCUUAGCCCUUUCCUGGCUCCAUGGUCAUCAUCCCACACAAGCCAACAAAGGAAACCUUGUGGUUGGUAUCUACUAUAGGCCACCAGAUUAAGAGGAUGAGCUCGACAUAAGAAAUCAGGCACGUUAGGCAGGAGAUGAGCGAGGCUGAGUAACGACCUUCUCUUCUGGUCGAGCUGAAGCACAAAGUGGAAAUGCAUAGGUAGUGGAAGCGGGGCCACGCAUUCUGGGAAGAAUCUAAAGAUGCUGCUCACAUCUGUAGGGAUGGGAUCAGAAAAUGUAAGGCAAAUCUGGAGCUGAAUGGUACUCGGCGAUUCAUUUUCCUCUGUUUUCACCGGCACCGUUACCAAACCUCUUGAGACCCUGAACCUCAAGGCAGGGACUUGGGGAACAAAGUCCCUUCCAUUGUAGGAAACGAUCAUGUUUGAGACCACCUGAGGAACCUGUGGAUACACAAGUCCUGCACCUGGGGAGGAACAACCCCAUGCACCAGUACAUGCUGGAGGCCGAUAGGCUGUGUUAUAGAUACAUUUUAUAUUGUUGGCUUUUCUCAAAUAUUAAAAUGAAUGUUAUGUGUAUAAGAAUGAGAAAUUUUGUUGUAUUAAUAUAGUUUUCUUUAUUUCUGUUAUUGAUGAAAUUUAGAAAUAGUAGUAUAAUACAUAUAUGUUAGGUUAUGGCAUAGUAUUAAAAUAAAAACUGCCUUUGUUUGUAUAACCCAAAGACUGAGGAAAAAAUAGCUAGAGACUCCUGCAUUUGUAAACUAUCUUAUCCAGAUGAAGACAGCAGUGUCCAGAGCUCUGGGGGAGGAAUUUAUUGCAUUCCUGGUAUCAGAGAAUGUAAAUCUCAAUGGCGCCAAGAGGAUUGAUCUAUUGGGAAGGGGGCAAGAGAAAACUAAACAGAAGAACACCAAAGAUCCUAAGAAGAAUGUAUGAAUAUGUAUGAGAAUUUAUGGAUAUGUAGUAGGAUUCUGUUUUUAAGGGACAAUCCUUUGUUAGUAAGGUGUGCUCUCUUGGCUGAAUGCAGAGACACCCGGCCGUAUCUGUAUACUUUAUUUUUUUCUCCUAAUUGUUUUUUAUUAAACUUUUAAAUUCUAUAAAACUUAUGUGAACCUCGUUUUUCACAGCUGGAAAGCAGCUUGGCAAAAUAGGACAAUGUGCCCUUGCCACAAAGGCAGCCAAGGAUAUCCUGAGCCUGAUAUAGAGGAAAGCAGGGUUUAUAUAUGUUACAAGACAGUUGUGUGGAACGUUCAAGGUGCUCACUGUCCCACGAGGGUGCAGGGCACCACAGACUACCCUUGGGCAGCUUUGAGGGCACUGCUUAUUUUUCUAAAAGCCUCCUAUCCAGCUUAACGCAAAUCCUACUAUCUUGAGCCCUCAAGCCAGCAGUGUCAAACGCACGCUUUGUAUUUUGCUUUCUUCCAGGAGACGUGCAGCUCAGAAACGUCUGCAAUGGAAGUGGGGCUUUCAUCAAACAAUGUAGAGCAACUUCUGUUGGUUUUUCAAACUGUCCUGAGAAGCUAAGGCCAGGCCUGCCCUGGCUUGGCCAAAGCAGUCAUUUGACUGGAGGGAGCAGCACCAAAAAGGCAGAGGCACCUUUGGGGUGGGCUUGAUGCGGUAACAAAUAACAAGAAAUAGUACUUGUAGCUACUGCAGCCUCUUCUGCGACCUCGUAGCCCGCCCUCAGGGUCGCAGCACUACACGGGGCAGAUCCCUCCGCGCCCCGCGGGCACCAGGUCGACGAGGGCGGGCCCGCCAAGGGGGCGGGGAAAAACGAAAAAGACAGGCGAGUCAGCAAAUCGAGACGCGGGCCACGAUCCGUCGGCCCAAUGGGCGCCGCGGAGGGCCCGGCUUAGUGGAGGAAGUGUCGGGGCGGACACGGGCGUUGUCCUUGGCUGACGAGAGUAUCGGGGUGCUGGCCUCUCUUCCUGGUGGCGCCUCUACUGUCUUCGGAAAGAUUCUCGGCAAGGCGUUUCUCUGGUAUCGUCAGCGACGAGGACUAGGAGGUGGUAUGCGGUUUAUCAGCUGCAAAGUACCACGGAGUUCCCUUCCCUGCAAGGAUUUCUGUAGAACCUGGCCUUCGCUCCGCUCCAUCCUCCAUUCCAUCUCCCUCAGCAGG